GGCGUCCCAGGCGGGCGGCUUGAGAGAGGGGGCUCCCAGCAGCCGUUUAGUUUCUGCAUUCGGCCUGGAGGCUAUGUCCACGAUGAAGCUCUGAGGAGGAGGACGACUCCAGCUGCCUCAUCCAAGGGCAUUUCCUGCCUGUGCAACGCGCGGGAGAGGACAGCAACACUGCGCGAAGGAGGAUUAACAAGUGUCAGGCUGUGGGGAGGGCCGGUGGAUAGAAUUUCAGGAGUGAGACGGCAAGACAGGCCAGCCCCGUGAAAAAUGGAUUGGAGAGAGAUGAGAGUGAGUCCAAAAGCCAGGAGGAGAAACAGGACAUUAGCAAAAUGGUCGAGGCAGAGAAGCUGAACCUCUGUAAUAAGGCAAGGCAGUGGGUUGAGACUCCUUUAUUUAGUCAAUAAUUCAGCACGUAGCUACCGUGGGUGUCCCUGGGGAUUCACCUUCCCUGUGGACUCUGCGUGCUGCGAAUCCAGUUACCCGGGAUCCGGGACAGUUCCAAAACUGAAUCCUGAGGAACCGAUCUUCGCGCUACGAGAGAAAUGGCCAGCCAGGCGAAAGCACGGCUCGCGGAGAGAAAUUAGGUCUUCUCUUUAGAGCAGAAUGUGUCAGCCUCGUCGGACAGCUGGAUCCGCGGAGCUCCCAGCGAGUCUUUCAGUUUCAAGGUCAUGAGUCAGAGCUUCAAAGUUGAGUCUUUCUGUGCUCAAGGUGUCAACCGCUUAACCUGUUUUAGGAAGAAGAAAUGAAAUGAAAAAAGACUGCAAAUGGAACGUAUUUAUCUAAAGUGUCUUUUUCAAAUAGGAAUAUGGGAAUGGUUUCCAGAAUUAGGCUAUACUCCAAGUCCCCAGUUGCUGUCA
rnacentral:lncRNA from 1 species